CCUACGGGAGGCAGCAGUGGGGAAUAUUGCACAAUGGGGGAAACCCUGAUGCAGCGACGCCGCGUGAGCGAUGAAGUAUUUCGGUAUGUAAAGCUCUAUCAGCAGGGAAGAAGAUGACGGUACCUGACUAAGAAGCCCCGGCUAACUACGUGCCAGCAGCCGCGGUAAUACGUAGGGGGCAAGCGUUAUCCGGAUUUACUGGGUGUAAAGGGAGCGUAGACGGCGAUGCAAGCCAGAUGUGAAAGCCCGGGGCUCAACCCCGGGACUGCAUUUGGAACUGUGUGGCUGGAGUGUCGGAGAGGCAGGCGGAAUUCCUAGUGUAGCGGUGAAAUGCGUAGAUAUUAGGAGGAAUACUCAUUGCGAAGGCGACCUGCUAGAACAUAACUGACGCUGAUGCGCGAAAGCGUGGGGAGCAAACAGGAUUAGAUACCCCUGUAGUC
rnacentral:rRNA from 1 species